GUCUCUGGAGUAGUUGUUUGCUGCCCGCCGGAGGCAGCUUCUGAAAUCGUGAGGGAUGCUCUCCGAGCAGCUAUGGGCUGGGCUGGCUGAGGCACUUUGAUCCGGUUUUCCAGUUCUUGCACAAGCAAGUUUGUGUCAGCCACGCCCUGGGGAGGAUCCACUGGAUCACCGCCGUCACUGCCUGUUCCCGGCGGCCUCUCCGGCUUCCCUAAAGAGAGCAGCUUCCCUCGAGACCAGAAGCCAGAGCUCACCCUCCCUUGUGUCCAGGUGGGACUUUCUACAACGCUGCUGUGCACGACGUGGAUGCCGUAUGCAUGUUGCUGGGGGAAGCCACUCCGGACACUGUGUUUUCUCUGGGACAUGUCUUCUGCCCAGAUAUGGCCGCCUUAAAAGAUGCAGAUGCUGUUGUGAUCAGCAUGAAGUUUCCCUGUGAGGCCGUGGUUAGCGUGGACAUCAGCCAGCACUGCACAGACAGCUGCGACCAGGACGUCAGCCAGCACUGCACAGACAGCUGCGACCAGAGACUGGAGGGAAAUAACCUCCUGAAAUCACCAAAGAGCAGUUCCUCAGGGCCUUCCGGGUGACCGUGGCCGUGGA
rnacentral:lncRNA from 1 species